GAUCAUGGCUCAGGAUGAACGCUAGCUACAGGCUUAACACAUGCAAGUCGAGGGGCAGCAUUGGAGUAGCAAUACUUCAGAUGGCGACCGGCGCACGGGUGAGUAACACGUAUCCAACCUGCCGCUUACUCGGGGAUAGCCUUUCGAAAGAAAGAUUAAUACCCGAUGGUAUAAAGAGUUCGCAUGUUCUCUUUAUUAAAGAAUUUCGGUAAGCGAUGGGGAUGCGUUCCAUUAGAUAGUUGGCGGGGUAACGGCCCACCAAGUCUACGAUGGAUAGGGGUUCUGAGAGGAAGGUCCCCCACAUUGGAACUGAGACACGGUCCAAACUCCAACGGGAGGCAGCAGUGAGGAGUAUUGGUCAAUGGACGAGAGUCUGAACCAGCCAAGUAGCGUGAAGGAUGACUGCCCUAUGGGUUGUAAACUUCUUUUAUAAGGGAAUAAAGUGAGGGACGUGUCCCUUUUUGUAUGUACCUUAUGAAUAAGGAUCGGCUAACUCCGUGCCAGCAGCAGC
rnacentral:rRNA from 1 species